UUAUAUCAAGGGUUCUUCAUAAUUGAGGUAGAACACUAUUUUAAAGUUGAAUGAUUGGAAAACUCUAAUUAAUCCUUUAAAAUAGUGUGUUUAUGUUUUCUCAUCAAUUAAAAUAUUUUCUUUAACCAUAUAGAUGAGUUUUUUAGUAUUUUCUAGAAAGGGGUGCAAAUAAGCUAGACUUUGGUGCAAAAAGUGUGAAAGCCAAAUAAAAUCCACCAUAAGUCACAAAAAGCACCACGAAGGCUAACUUGAAUAAGCCCAGUCGAUUGG
rnacentral:lncRNA from 1 species